AGUGAACGCUGGCGGUAGGCCUAACACAUGCAAGUCGAACGGCAGCACAGUAAGAGCUUGCUCUUACGGGUGGCGAGUGGCGGACGGGUGAGGAAUACAUCGGAAUCUACUUUUUCGUGGGGGAUAACGUAGGGAAACUUACGCUAAUACCGCAUACGACCUACGGGUGAAAGCAGGGGAUCUUCGGACCUUGCGCGAUUGAAUGAGCCGAUGUCGGAUUAGCUAGUUGGCGGGGUAAAGGCCCACCAAGGCGAUGAUCCGUAGCUGGUCUGAGAGGAUGAUCAGCCACACUGGAACUGAGACACGGUCCAGACUCCUACGGGAGGCAGCAGUGGGGAAUAUUGGACAAUGGGCGCAAGCCUGAUCCAGCCAUACCGCGUGGGUGAAGAAGGCCUUCGGGCUGUAAAGCCCUUUUGUUGGGAAAGAAAAGCAGCAGGUUAAUACCCCGCUGUUCUGACGGUACCCAAAGAAUAAGCACCGGCUAACUUCGUG
rnacentral:rRNA from 1 species